rnacentral:rRNA from 1 species
GAAUAUUGGACAAUGGGCGAAAGCCUGAUCCAGCAAUGCCGCGUGAGUGAUGAAGGCCUUAGGGUUGUAAAGCUCUUUUACCCGGGAUGAUAAUGACAGUACCGGGAGAAUAAGCUCCGGCUAACUCCGUUCCAGCAGCCGCGGUAAUACGAAGGGGGCUAGCGUUGCUCGGAAUCACUGGGCGUAAAGGGUGCGUAGGCGGGUCUUUAAGUCAGGGGUGAAAUCCUGGAGCUCAACUCCAGAACUGCCCUUGAUACUGAAGAUCUUGAGUUCGGGAGAGGUGAGUGGAACUGCGAGUGUAGAGGUGAAAUUCGUAGAUAUUCGCAAGAACACCAGUGGCGAAGGCGGCUCACUGGCCCGAUACUGACGCUGAGGCACGAAAGCGUGGGGAGCAAACAGG